CCCGACCAGGGAUCAAACCUGCAGUCUUUUGGCGUUUAGGACAACUCUCCAACCAACUGAGCCACACGGCCAGGGCAAAAGUAUUUUUAACACAUUCUGAAACUUGGGUAAACAAUGUCCCCAGCACGCCUCUGGGCCUCCCUUUGUGAUCCGAAAAUGCACUUUUGGACCAAUCUGUGUGAUGCUAGGAAGAACUGCUGACAGUUCUGCCGGUGUUCUUCCUCGCUUCUGUUGAGCGGCGAUGUCAUGUCCAGGUCACUGACCUCACUCAGCCAUUUCUGAUCAGCAAGGGCAAAUGGAGAAAGAGCCAGCAGGAUACAGCACGCACACCUCUGUGGCCGGCUCCUGAGCUCUGCUCUCUGACAGGUGCUGUGGGUUUCGGCCGUCUCUGUAGAAGACAAGCCCUCUUUGAAGUCCAGGUCUGACCGAUGCCAUGCGUGAAGACUACAUGGUGAUGAGAGAGUUGGCUCUUCGCAUGAGGUUAGAUCCAGGAAAAAGGAAGCAAGAAUUGCACAAGUUCAUGGGUACUGUGCAAAAAGAUAAAAAUACGCAAAAAGAGCUUCAACGCUGGGAUAUCAAAUUAGAAACCGAAUUUUUGUCCUUCUCAGGGAGAAUUUUGAAAGAAGUGAGAAUUUUCCAAGGAAAAAGAAUGUUUGACUCCCAUCCACGAUCAGCGAAAUGGGCGAGAGGAACAAGAAGUGGACCACACUCAGUGUGAAGUCACUGCACCGCUGGCUGAUCCUCUACACGAAGAGAAAUUACGGAGCAGCCCUUUCCUUCAUGCAGUCUUGGGAAAGUCACACCUACCAUGGGCGUGGCUAUGAAAGAUGCAGAAACGUAAGUACAGCGGAAAUCACUCCUGACUUAAAAGUCCGUUGUCAGCAGUCGGAAGGUGGAAUAACAGAAAAUAUUAAAUUGUAGGAAUCCGUUGCUUAUCAAAACCCCGAGAGUCUACACACAAAGUAGUCGCAUCUACUCCAGGCAACUACUGUGCAAACAGGCAUUCGUGGUUCGUGGUCUGUGGCCCUUGGGUUACAAGAUGAGGAAGACGUGACCAUCAGCAACUUGAUGCGAGUGGAUGGUGUGAUGGUAAGAACUAGUUCCCAAAUGUGUUUCCAAAAAUUGGACUUGUUUUAAAACUAAACUUGCAAACUGAAAUGCCUGUCUUGGCAUGUGAUCUUGUCUUGCAUGGUGUCAUGUGUAUAAAAUGUUUCUUACAUGUUUCACAGCUCACUACCCUUUGAAUACAGACGAUCUGCUUUUCUAGGCUUGAAGUAAGUGAUCCAGUCAAAUCCUAUGUAACCAUGUUUUACCAUUUUUAUUUUUAGAGAGAGGGGAAGAGAAGGGGAGAAACAUCAAUGUGUGGCUGCC